GUCCGGAGCGCAACGCGGGGGCUGUGUUCGGGGUCAGGAGCAAGGGCAGAGUGCGGGGGGGCGGGGACCCGGCUGUGCUGCUGGGAUUGCUGACGGGCCCUGCUCCAAGAGAUGGAGGUGGGGAAGAGGAUUGAGACGCGACAAGCAGAGGCCACUCAGGUCAGUGGUCAGACACCACAGAGGCAGAGCCUCCGACUUCUGGCUGUAGUCCUGGAGGAGAAGAGGGGGCAGAAGGAGCCAUGAUGUGGGAUUGCUGUCCAGGGCCCCUGCACUGGUGACACAGGAGAACGUCCCAUCUCAUCACUUUGCAGACAGUGACAUCCUUGCACAAAUCAUCCCAUCCGUGCUCAGUGCCAGCCCCUCUGCUCACAGGCGAUUCCAGCAGCCCCUGUGAGUAAAGCUGGUGACUGUUCUAGGCAAGUCAGAAGAAACACAUAUCCGCAGAUAAAGAGAAGGGAAGAAAGUCCUUUUUUAAUUUUUUUGUUUCCAACUCUUCAGCAGCCACCAGGCGUCAGUGUGAUCAAACGUUUGGCAGAUGGGACUACAGCAAAGUCCAGGUAGGUGGAAA